rnacentral:rRNA from 1 species
CUCGUAGGUGGCCAACUAAGUCAGACGUGAAAUCCCUCGGCUUAACCGGGGAACUGCGUCUGAUACUGGAUGGCUUGAGUUUGGGAGAGGGAUGCGGAAUUCCAGGUGUAGCGGUGAAAUGCGUAGAUAUCUGGAGGAACACCGGUGGCGAAGGCGGCAUCCUGGACCAACACUGACACUGAGGAGCGAAAGCCAGGGGAGCAAACGGGAUUAGAUACCCCGGUAGUCCUGGCCCUAAACGAUGAAUGCUUGGUGUGGCGGGUAUCGAUCCCUGCCGUGCCGAAGCUAACGCAUUAAGCAUUCCGCCUGGGGAGUACGGUCGCAAGGCUGAA